rnacentral:rRNA from 1 species
UACGUAGGGGGCUAGCGUUGUCCGGAAUCAUUGGGCGUAAAGCGCGUGUAGGCGGUCCGGUAAGUCCGCUGUGAAAGUCGAGGGCUCAACCCUCGAAUGCCGGUGGAUACUGUCGGGCUUGAGUACGGGAGAGGCGAGUGGAAUUCCUGGUGUAGCGGUGGAAUGCGCAGAUAUCAGGAGGAACACCGAUUGCGAAGGCAGCUCGCUGGAACGUUACUGACGCUGAGACGCGAAAGCGUGGGGAGCAAACAGG